AAAAUAAAUUUUGUUCUUCCAAGAGGCAUUACUAAAUAUAUUUGUGAUGGCCCAAGGGAGGAUCAAGUCACAUUUGGGCAUAUACUCCAAAAGGACUAGUCAAUAAUAUAAUUGGAGCUCCAUUGGAGCCAUUAUAAAGAAUAAGAACUUCUCAUUUUCAAGCAAUGUGGGAUCUCAUACGCCACUAACCUGUAUCACUUACCAGUCAGUAUGGGUUAUCACAAUCUCCUCCCUUAAAUUCUCGAAGUCUUUUUUGGACCAAUUCAUCCUAGGUGGCACUGUUCAAGUCCUAUAUUUCUGGUUGGGAUAGACUCUGAUAUCAUUUCUAACAUUUCAAUGGAUGCCUAAGCCACAUCUGGGCAUAUACUCUAAAAUGAUUAGUUAAUGAUACAAUUGGAGCCUCAUUUGUGUGAUUAUAAAGAGCAAGAACUUCUUAUUCCCAAGCAAUGUGGGAUCCUAUAUAUCACCUACCAUUUUCAUUUUCUUUGGGGUACCGCAAUAUUUUUUCCAUCUCUCGUAACUUUAAAACUAGUAGUUCAUGUUUCCUUCAAUUUUGGUUUGUUUUUUGAAUGGCAUCUUCAUGGAAGGUGUUGAAUCUUUGUUAGUGUAUCUCAUGGUACAUUUAUUAAGGCUUCUUUUCUUUUUCCUUUUGAAGUAUUUUUGUGGCUUUUGGUAAAAACAUGUCUAUUUGUAUGAUAUUUCUAUGCUCAGAAGGUGAGAAAGUGGUUUUUAUCCUUUUGAUCUGUUUAAACUGUAUUGAUUAAUUUAAUGGAUAUUGGAGGUAUUUUGUCUUUAAUGACUUUUAAAGUUAAACUCACAGUCCUCCUAGAUUUGCUAAUGCUUAAAGACUUGGGAGAUUUGAGCUGCAGACCGACCGAUGGAAGAAGAAGCAAGCAAUGUUUCAUGAGUUUUUAACAGCAUGUAUACACAAUUUGUUCAUCUUUUUCCAUUUUUUCUCUGCAUAUGCAUGUUAUUCAUGCAACAGUUAAAUUUUAUAACCCUACUAUCUCAAUUUUACAAUCUAGUUAUAUU